AAAGGAAGUGGAGAACGUUCUUGCAAGAUGAUCUGUAUUUUCUCUCUAAAGCAGAGUUCAUUUGCUGAGAAUGAUGGAGAAAAUCAGCAUCUAGCUAAUCAGCUGACCAUGAGAUGCAGAGAUUAUCUGGAAUUAUCCAGAUUGGUCCAUUUAAUUACAUGAGUCCUUAAAAGUGGAAAGUGGAAGAAGAGGCAGAAGAGUGUGUCAGAGAGAUGCUGUGUGAAAAGGACUCAACCUGCCACUUGAGGCUUUGAGGCUGGAGAAAGGGGCCAUGAACCAAGGAUUGUGAGCAGCCUGUAAAAUCUGGAAAAGACAAGGCAAUACCCUUUGCUGUCUCAGGGUCAAACAUGCAACUCCUGCCUGCUUGUAUGGCCAGCUGGGUUCAAGAAGGAAGGAACCUCAUUGUUGACAGUUACCAGAUGAAUGUGCCCCUUCUGUACAGCUAAGAAAUGGAAUAGACAUUGGUAACCUUCCACAGGCCCACACAUGUGUUAUCAGCCAUACCUUAGGACAGAAGGAAUGAGUUUGCAGAAAGGAUGCUCUUCAGAACUCAUGAAGACAUAAGGUGCUUCAAAAGAGGAGACUUUCGGAACAUGAGCAGGGAAAUUGUCACUUGAUAGAUGACAAGCAUUGUGAGAAACAACAGUUUGCCUUUCUUCAUUCCCUUCCUGGUUAUCUUUCCUGUCACAUGAAGAAGAAAUGAAACACCAGAGAGAAUCAGGUUAUCAUCAUCUACACCAGCCACUGUCACUGCCCUACAACCAUACUGAGAAUUUAGCCCUGGGGACAUCUUCCGAUAUAAUCUGGCAUAGAAGAGUGGUUAUCACACCUUUAGCAUGGAUAGAAAUGCAAAACAAUAUUUGUAAUAGUCUGUGCUCACGCUGCUAUAAGGACAUACCCAAGACUAGGAAAGAGCCACAGAUUUGCUUCUUCCUAGCAAGGGCGUGAUACUAAUUCCAGAUCCAUCCAAAUAUUGUUCACUGCUUCUUAGACAGAGACCCCUUUCUCCCAGGACCCUUGAGACACCUUUGCUGUGAAUAAUGGAGAAGCAAAAGGAGUUACUAAUGAAGACAAACUAAACCUGAGAACAGAGAGAGCCUAACUAUGUGCUCCAGAAGUGCCAUGUGUGUCUAAGAUGAAGUUUCGCUCUUCUUGCCCAGGCUGGAGUGCAAUGGCACAAUCUCAGCUCACUGCAACCUCUGCCUCCUGGGUUCAAGCGAUUCUCCUGCCUCAGCCCCCUGAGUAGCUGGGAUUACAGGUUCCUAUAAAGUUCCUGAUAGUUGAAGAAAGUCAGGAGAUCUUAGAAACUGACUUUCAUUUAUAACCUGCUGAUUCACCUAGAUCAGGUUACUGGGAAGAAAUCCAAGUCAGACCUCCUGACCUACUCGAAACAGCAUGAGGGCAUACUUAAGUCUGUUCCUUAGGAAAAUGAUGAGGGGGAGACACUCUCUAAGCUUGUGAGGACUGGUGGAUUGAUGAAGAGCAAACACACUGGUCAAUGUAUCCAGCAUCUAGUACUUUGGAGCUGCCACCCAUUUCAGAUGCUUCUUGGGACCAGGAGCCAUGGCUGCGCUCGGCACGGAAACAGCCAAACAUUAACUCAAAAUGGAUAAAAGAUUUAAAUGUAACACCUCAAACUGUAAAAUUCUAGAAGACAAAUUAGGAAAUACCCUUCUUGAUAUUGGCCUUGGCAAAGAAUUUUUGGCUAAGUCCCCAAAAGCAGUUGUAACAAAAACACAAAUAGACAUGUGGGACCUAACUAAACUAAGAAGCUUCUGCACAGAAAAAAAAGACACUAUCGACAGAGUAAACAGACAACCUGCAGAACAAGAGAAGACAUUUGCAAACUAUGCAUCCAACAAAGGCUUAAUAACCAGAAUCUAUAGGUAACUUAAACAAAUCAGCAAAUAAUUUCUAGUUUCUACUGGCACAGGAAAUACCGAAAGUUACCACACCAAUGCACAUUAUUAUGCAAUAUCAUAAUACCAGUGAUAGAGAGAGGAUUCACUAACUUCUAGAGAGAAAAACACUUCAUAGGAAGGAGCAAUCAGAAUAACAUCAUAUUUUUCCACAGCAACAUUUGGUACUACAAGAUAAUGAAAGAUCUGAUAGAAUAUUUGUUAACAUUUGUAAAUAGAAGAAAUUAUAUAAGUGAAAAAACUAAGACAAUAAUUAACUCUAGAGAAAACAAUGAGGUUUCAAAAAACAGGAAAUGCAACAUAUUACACUGCUUUCUUAUUUAGCAAACAAUAUUUAUAUAUUCACUGUAAUGAAACUACAUCAUCAACUAAUAAUUAUGAUAAAGUACAUACAAUAUAAGAUAUACUAUGUAUUUGAAGAUAAGAGUUGGCAUGAACGAGUUUACCUUCUUUUUCAAAAUAAUAAAUUUACUAUAUAUUUAUAAUUAAUAAAUCAAGGGAAAGAAAUACAGCCAUGUUACUUAGGUUUUGAAAAGUGAAGAAAUUAUGGCUAAUGCCGGAAGAUACAACUAAAAGUAUUAAUACUCCUUCUAAGCAAUUUAGAGAAGAGCAAUGCAGAGGACACUGAUUUCAAAAGAAUCCUCUGAUACUAUUAAUAAUUAUGUGCAUGAAUUAUUUGAUUAAAAAUUAAGACAUUAUAUAAUUCAAUAUAAUAUUUAAAAUAAUGACUCUGUGUCCUGUGUCCUAGGGGCAGACUUAAAUCCUCUUUGGGGAAAGAAACGAUCAGAGGGCUGCCUCCUUUAAUUUUAUCCAAACCAACUUAUUUAAGUUUCCCUAACUGCCAUCUUUUGAUCCAGGAAUUUACUUUUCUUUCAAAGCAGAGCAACUAAAAGAUGAGGCAACAUGUACCCCCAUAUUCAUUUUAUUUAUGCAAAUCCUAAACAUACCAAUGAAAGGAAAAACAGGCACAUGCACACCCACGAUAUUCCCAAGCAUGCAUUUUGUUGUUCAUUUUUAUUCACCACCCACCUGCCAUCUCCUCUACUCAAUAUCCCUUCUAUAUUUUAAUCUAGUUUUUUUCUUGAGGUGCUAUUAGCCAAACCAUAUGCUGUUCCACUGCUAAUUGCUUUCCCUCUCUGUGUGAACAGAGCCCUGUGUCCAGCACGGUCAGGGAUUAUAGCUCAACAGCUAAUUUUGCCUCCGGUCUACUUGAUCCCCUUACAGCUGUGUUCUUGGCUUACUUUGCUUUGGUGUUCAAAAAAUUACAGGUAUCAUAAUAUUUAUUCUCUCUUAUCUUACCUGCAUAUUCAUAUAUAUUACUGACCAAGACAUGUUCUUCUGAUUUAGUACAUUUUACUGCUAUUAAAAUACAAAUCCAAAUAUUCCUAAUCACAUUGUUAUAACUUUACAUAAUAUCUAACCAAGAACCAAGCAUAUUUUAUGUUGACCAAUAUUGUGCAUCAGAAAGUAGUAUGAAAGAGGAAUAAUAAUCAUCAUCACAAUAUUAUUAGAUAUCAUUUACAUGUUUUGAAUGUUUUCUGUGGGUCAAGUUCUGUGUUAAGUAAUUCAGAUGCAUUAUCACAACAGCCGUGUAAUGUAGGUACUAUUAUUAUCUUAUAGGUCAGAAAACUGAAACUUAGGGAUAUUAAAUAACUUCCAAAGUUCACAAAUCAAGUCAGAGAUAAAACCAGGAGGCAUAAGUUCCUACUGGAUCAUAAAAAUGGAAUUCCAUCUUGCCUGUGAGGAAUAAAAGGUUUGGGAAAGAGUCUUGAAAGAGAUAAUUCCUGAAUUAAGUCUUGAAAAAAAUACAGGAGCAAACACAUGAAGAAGUAAGAGAGUAUGUCAUCUUAGUGAAGCCAAAAAGAGAUCAGUAUGAUGAAAUUACACACCAUGAUGAUCUUUAUUAAAACAUAGCCACACUUAUUUGUUAUGCAUUAUCUAUGGCUGCUUUAGCACUACAAUGUUGAAAUUUAGUAAUUUCAGCAAAGUUCAUUUGGCUUACAAAACAAAGUAUUUGCUAUCUGAUCCUUUAUGGAAAGGCUCGCUAACCUCUAUUUUAGAGAGUCAAUUAAGUCUUAGAGCAAUUAAAAAUAAGAAAGAUAACCUAAAUAGUUUUAUUUUUACUUUCAUUUAUUUAAUUUCCAGCACUCCUUAUUUCUUUGUGUAGUUGUAAGUUUUUGUUGAGUACCAUAUUUCUACUGCCUGAAUAUCUUUUAAGAUUUCUUACAUAACAGCAGGUCUUAGGCCAGGUGUGGUGGCUCACACCUGUAAUCCUAGCAAUUUGGGAGGAUGAGGCGGGUAGAUCACUUGAGGUAAGGAGUUUAAGACCAGCCAGGCCAGUAUGGUGAAACCCCAUCUCUACCAAAAAUACAAAAAUUAGCAGGUGUGGUGACAGGCACCUGUAAUCCCAGCUACUAGGGAGGCUGAGACAGGAGAAAUGCCUGAACCCAGGAAGUGGAGGUUGCAGUGAGCCAAGAUCGCACCACUGUACUCCAGCCUGGGCAACAGAGUGAGACUCUGUCGCGGAAAAAAAAAAAAAGCAGAUCUUAUAGAGAAAUCACUAUUUUCCUGUCAGUGAUGACCUUGGUUACCAAAAUAAGUACAAUCUCACUUAAAUGGCAAAACUCAAGCUACCUCUUGUUUGCUUCUGUUCUUAUAACAUGGCUCUCCAAUGUUUUCUCACAGUUUUUUUUUUAACUUUUAUUGAAAAAUAUUUAAACUGGCAGGAGAAUCUGGCAAUGAUACAAUAAACUCCCAUGUAUACACACCUAAAGUGACCACACUUUCUUUCCUGCACACACAUAACAAAAACACACACAUACAUUUCAUGUCAACUAAAGCAUUUUAGAGUCUUUGACAUCACGACUUUUAACCCUCAAAUACUUCAGUGUACAUUUUCUAAGAAAAAGGACAUCUGAUUACCUAAAGCAUGGCACAACUAUUAAUUUCAAAAAUUUAAACAUUAACACAAGAUUAUUUCUUCCUUUGUUUUAGUGUUGUCCUUGCAGCAUAUUUUUUUCUGAUUGAUGAUUUUCUGUUUUUUUCUGAUGAUGCAGAAUCAUGCAUGUAUUUACUUGUUAUACGUCUUUUUUUAAUUUAUUAUCUCUAAUAAUUUUAUUGUUAUUAUUAUACUUUAAGUUUUAGGGUACAUGUGCACAAUGUGCAGGGUAGUUACAUAUGUAUACAUGUGCCAUGCUGGUGCACUGCACCCACUAACUCGUCAUCUAGCAUUAGGUAUAUCUCCCAAUGCUAUCCCUCCCCCCCCCAAACCCCAAAGCAGUCCCCAGAGUGUGAUAUUCCCCUUCCUGUGUCCAUGUGUUCUCAUUGUUCAAUUCCGACCUAUGAGUGAGAAUAUGUGGUGUUUGGUUUUAUGUUCUUGCAAUAGUUUGCUGAGAAUGAUGAUUUCCAAUUUCAUCCACGUCCCUACAAAGGACAUGAAAUCAUCAUUUUUUAUGGCUGCAUAGUAUUCCAUGGUGUAUAUGUGCCACAUUUUCUUAAUCCAG
ensembl:lncRNA novel transcript